UUAAACUCUCUUUCAUGGUACAUGGGUAUCGUUUAAAUUUUUUGCCAAUUAAUUUAGUAAAACUUCAUAAUACUCCCUAAAUUGGUGGACUAACCACUAUAAAAUCGCUAUUUUCUAAAGAAACCGAGACAACAAAAGUUCCAAACCUCUUUGACCUUCAUCAUAUGUUAGUGAAGGAUGCAACUAUACAUUAAAACAGAAUUUUCAUUUUUAAAAUUUUUUCUCAAAAUCUAUGAGUUAACCCCUACGAAAAUAUUGAAUUUUUAGGUAAAUGAUAUAUAUACUUAAGUCUAUGAUCCUUAGGGUUGUUU
rnacentral:lncRNA from 1 species